AGAAGCUCUGUGGAUUUAAAUAUUUAAUUCCCGAUCCAGCCUACUUACUAUAAUAUUCUGCUUCUCUAGAAGUCCUCAGUUCUUCUAGUCCCCGCAUCAGGACGGACAGGCCGCUCAGUGGUGUAGUUUAAGAGGAGGUGAGGCAUACAGGAUGCUGGCGGGGAAAAGCGGCGUGAAAGCUCCCCAGAUGGAGAGCUGAGC